AUGUUACCUUGGCGUGGUGGUAGCGCUUGCAAUCCCUUUGCAAGUGCAACACAUCCAAGGUUCCAAUCCCAGGCUGGCAUU
rnacentral:tRNA from 1 species